GACCAUGUUCAGGUCCCCAGCUGGAGCCCUGCUUCUUGGCCGUCUGUUUGUCGUUCAUGCCACUGCUGCUUCCCUGGGGAUUUGGGGAGGGUAAUCUAGAAGAGGCAGCAGGGUAUAAGGAACAGAAACAGUAAUAAUCCUGGAACGAGCUGGAUCUAAUUUUAAAUCUGGGCUCUGCAAUGUGCUGGUUGGGUGACCUGGGCAAAUGCUAGCUCCCCUGGGUCAGGCCCGGUAUAAUUUCUUCAAGAGCCCUGCAGGUUCAGGAUUUCAACCUACUUUCCCCGGGGGAGGUGGAAGGACUGCCAAGACCAUCUGGCCAAGGAUGUCCUGAUGAGGAACAUGGUGCAGCUGCUGAAAACUACCUGGGAGAAUUUGGGAGGGGCCGAAAGGAGGGAGGAGAUGCCAGCCCAUAAUAUGUCCUGCCAACCUCCCAGAAACCAUUGCUCUGGAAACCAUCUUGACUGAGAGAUGUGCACACCGCCAGGAAGGUCCUUGAAUGGGACCAGAUAUGGGCACAAGCAAGAUGAUUGGCCAGAGACAACCUGGAAAGCUAACGCCACCACCAUAAACCCUGAGACUGUGAUCCACGUGGCAGAGCAGUUCCGGGUGCUCUCCGCCCGGGUCUCCCUUCCCAAUAAAGUCUUUUACUUUGUUAGUA